rnacentral:lncRNA from 1 species
CCUGCAACAGUCUGUCAUUGUGAUUGCACAAGACUAGAUUUAAAGUUACGCAUUGACGCGAGCAGCGAUUUCCUCCCAUGCCCUCUCCCUCUCCUUUGCAGCUGCUGCUGUAUUGCACUUUCUUUUAAAAACGUGCUGUAAUUCGCCGUUGGCUUGCUGCUGCCCCCUCCUUCUCCCUGUUUCCAUUGGUUGAUCAAUGAAUCUGGGCUCCACAGAUGCUGGCUGUUUAUGUCUGGCGUGCACGUGCUUAACUCCAGGUCAAACUACUCGGAGUUGCUAAAACUGUCUCAAAUCAGGUGUUGUGAAACCGGAAACUCAGAGUUUCCUAUCUCAGAGUAGAUCAACUCAGAGUUAAGGAUUUAACUCAGAGUUUGUUGAACCACCUACGUGAAACGGACCCCAGGUU